rnacentral:rRNA from 1 species
UACGUAGGGUGCAAGCGUUGUCCGGAUUUACUGGGCGUAAAGCGCGUGUAGGUGGCCAAACAGGUCCGUUGUGAAAACUGGAGGCUCAACCUCCAGACGUCGACGGAAACCGUAUGGCUAGAGUCCGGAAGAGGAGAGUGGAAUUCCUGGUGUAGCGGUGAAAUGCGCAGAUAUCAGGAAGAACACCCGUGGCGAAGGCGGUUCUCUGGGACGGUACUGACGCUGAGACGCGAAAGCGUGGGGAGCGAACAGG